ACACGUAGGGGGCAAGCGUUGUCCGGAUUUAUUGGGCGUAAAGAGCUCGUAGGCGGCUGAGUAAGUCGGGUGUUAAAUCCCCAGGCUCAACCUGGGACACCACCCGAUACUGCUCUGGCUAGAGUCCGGUAGGGGAGCGUGGAAUUCCUGGUGUAGCGGUGAAAUGCGCAGAUAUCAGGAGGAACACCAGCGGCGAAGGCGGCGCUCUGGGCCGGAACUGACGCUGAGGAGCGAAAGCGUGGGUAGCAAACAGGAUUAGAUACCCUGGUAGUCCACGCCGUAAACGUUGGGCACUAGGUGUGGGGUCUAUUCAACGGACUCCGUGCCGUCGCUAACGCAUUAAGUGCCCCGCCUGGGGAGUACGGCCGCAAGGCUAAA
rnacentral:rRNA from 1 species